GAUGAACGCUGGCGGCGUGCCUAAUACAUGCAAGUCGAGCGAACGGACGAGAAGCUUGCUUCUCUGAUGUUAGCGGCGGACGGGUGAGUAACACGUGGAUAACCUACCUAUAAGACUGGGAUAACUUCGGGAAACCGGAGCUAAUACCGGAUAAUAUUUUGAACCGCAUGGUUCAAAAGUGAAAGACGGUCUUGCUGUCACUUAUAGAUGGAUCCGCGCUGCAUUAGCUAGUUGGUAAGGUAACGGCUUACCAAGGCAACGAUGAGUAGCCGACCUGAGAGGGUGAUCGGCCACACUGGAACUGAGACACGGUCCAGACUCCUACGGGAGGCAGCAGUAGGGAAUCUUGCGCAAUGGGCGAAAGCCUGACGGAGCAACGCCGCGUGAGUGAUGAAGGUCUUCGGAUCGUAAAGCUCUGUUAUUAGGGAAGAAAAUAUGUGUAAGUAACUGUGCACAUCUUGACGGUACCUAAACAGAAAGCCACGGCUAACUACGUG
rnacentral:rRNA from 1 species